AACGUAGGAGGCAAGCGUUAUCCGGAUUUACUGGGCGUAAAGCGCGUGUAGGCGGUUCGGCAAGUUGGAUGUGAAAGCUCCUGGCUUAACUAGGAGAGGUCGUUCAAUACUACCGAACUUGAGGUCAUCAGAGGAGAGUGGAAUUCCCGGUGUAGUGGUGAAAUGCGUAGAUAUCGGGAGGAACACCAGUGGCGAAAGCGGCUCUCUGGGAUGAUCCUGACGCUCAGACGCGAAAGCUAGGGUAGCAAACGGG
rnacentral:rRNA from 2 species